rnacentral:tRNA from 1 species
GAAUAGCGUAGCUCAGUUGGUUAGAGCGGCUUUCUAAUAUAGCAGUCGUAUGUAUGAGAUCACGGUUAAGACACUCUUCGCGCAGGUUCAAGUCCUGCCGUAUUCA